UGAUGCCAGGGUCAAAAGUCAAUAAGCAUGUUGUGCUUGCACAUAAAUGCUUAUAUGACUUAGUGACCCGCCCCAAUAUGAGAAUAAAAGUGGGGCGUAAGCCACACGAUAUUCGAAUAUUGGGUAGGAUUGUGGGAGUGCAAAGCACGGAGCAAUCCGUGGGCAUCA
rnacentral:sRNA from 1 species